GUACUUAAUGACAGGGGAGAUAUACAACUAAGAAAGUGACUUCCCAGGGCAAGCCUCUCCAUUGCACUUGGGAUUUGCUGUGACCCUGCAAUUUCCCCAAAUGGGGGAAACUCUACUGCAUAAUUUGUGACAGUGCUGGACUGUGUACGAGCCUAUCCCUGAA
ensembl:snRNA U1 U1 spliceosomal RNA